GCCCCGCCUCCCUCACACAGACCUCGCCGCCGGCCAUGGCCUUCCCAACAGCCGCCGCUCCGACCCUCUCCCCCUCCCCUCCCCUUAUCACAAGACAAGAGAAGAGAAGAGGGAGGGAAAUCGAUCGCGACCGAGCAGGUCAGGCGGCGACAAUGGCGCGCCCAGACCUGCCAGCGCCGUCGUCGUCGAGCUGGGCUGGGCGGCGCAGUCCGGUAGAGUAGGAAUGAGGGGGCGGUGGGACGCCUCCCCUGCUCGAGCUGCUCCAAGCGAGCGACCACAGCGCCGGAUCCACCUCCACAACCACCCACCGGCGGCCACGGAAGGUCAGGGACCUUCGUUCAGUCCGUGUGCUUCUUCUCCAUGGAGCUCCGACACCGCAGCAGCCGCAUCCAUGGAAGUGCCGACGCCAUGGACCUCGUCAAUCGUGGUUUGCUGCUGUCGCCGAUCGUUUCCCUGACAAGUUGACACGAAAGCCACCAUUGUCAAAGUCGUCGUUGGCCGGCGUUGCCACUGGUCGCUGCUCCACGCAUCUUAUCGGUGCCGCGAGGCGAUGCCAUCUGCAUCUGUUGCUGCAGCCUGGGAGGUGGCCGGGUCUCCAAGCAUGCACAAUACUCACGCCCAUACCCACGGCUGUAGCGUCGCUCUGCUGCAUGAAUCAUUCCAUCAGGCUGCUAAUUCCAACCACCUCUUCCGAUUUUGCGAAGGUGAUGCCCUCUUUGCUGCCCAAUCGUUGAAGAUGCCAUAGGACAAGAUCCUCUGCUGCUGCUGUGUCUGGUGGUUGAAGAAGGGGUGUGCUGGGAAGAGGAGGCAGUGUUGAGAGUGCUCAAUCUGGAACAGGACGAGCUUAGGCUGCAUCGGUGUGUUUGCUGCUGCUGAAUUUGCUAACUACUACUGCUCCCUAUAGCGUUAUUACAUUUGGCUUCGUGCUUUACCAACGACCUCUCCUUCUAGACCUGGCUACGCAGGCUCUGGUUCUCAACCUCCAACAUGAGUCCCUUUCUUCCGUGCCUCGAAUGCCACGAGUCAUCAUGGGCACUGCAGAUGCGGAGGAGUUUUACCGGGGCGAUCUGCUUGUUCCCGGCCGCGCUGGUGUCAACUACCUCGAGCCACUAUGACCAUCCCAACCACGCUCAACCCCCUGAACGAAUUGUUUGUGGAUCUGCGAAGGGGGAUUCAAUUAAUUUUCAGUUGUAGAAAAGGGAGAAGGGGGAUUCAAUUAAUUUUCCUCCUCAAGAUCAAAGAAACAAAAUCUUUGUGGCGAUGAUAGAAGGGGUUCACGACUUCACGUUAAUACACAGACUAUUGGUAAGGGCAUUAAAACAUAUAUCUGGUGUGAAAUGGUCGUACAUGCUUGAUUAGAAUAUUUUCAAGUGUUGUAGGUGUACGGCUGUGGGGAAACAUUUUCAUGGUCUAAUUUUCUAAUUAAUGUAUGCACGAGACAUGAAUCUUGGAUUCUAAACUUUUUCCUUGAUGUUUGGGCUUCCUCUAACUUUUCGUAUAUUGCACACAACACAACACAUAGAUUCAUGUCUUCCAUGCUUGCUGUCUUGUAACAAACAGAUGUUGGGAUGGAUACUAAUUUUCUAAAUGAUUUGAACUCAUGUUGUUUUCUAUUCUACUGCCAUUGGUUCAUCAUUCUGAACCAUUCAAUUGUUGGAACUCCGGCAUAUAUUGGUCCUGAAGUUAUGCUGAAGAAAGAAUAUGACGCAAGCUACGAUCCAUCCUAUUUUGUGCUUUAAACGGUCUGCUGCAUACUCUGCCAUCUGCUGCAUAACUUAAUUCUGUUUGCUCGGCCAUAAAAGCCUUACUUGAUUUCUGAAUCUUCCAUUCACCUUUCGUUGUCAUGAGUGGUGAAUGGUCUUGAGGAGUAACCAUUUAGAUAUUGUAUGUUUUUUUGCUCGAACACGAUCUCGACAUUGAUAAUAGCAGAGAGAUAAUAUACGCCUUAUAAUCUUGUAACUGUAGAAAAAAGUAUAGAUAACCCCCAGAAGUAUCCUGUUUGGAUCACAUAACCCCCCAUGUUUAAAAUCGAGUUCUUAAUCCCUUGAACUAUUCUAAACCAGACAUAUCACCCCCUGGCACCCACUUAAGUAGUUUGGGACGGUGGUUUUGCAUAUGUGGCGCCUGGGCUGGGCCCAUCGACCGGCCACGUCGGACUGGGCCUGCUGGGUGCGGUCUAAAUGACGCCCUCGAGCAGGUUCGACCCAGACUCGGCCUCUUCGCCUCCCAAUUUAGCGUGAGCUUUUUAAUUUUUCAGCAGUGUACUACAGCAAAUUGUUGAUUAUUAUACUGUUCUGUAUGCAAUGCUAUGUUAAAGAAGGAAACUUUUGACAACAAAUAUUUUAUGACUGUACUAUUCUGUAUGGAAUGGUGUGUUGCAAGAUAUUUUAUCAGAAGUGUACAUAUUAUUGGCAUCAAAUUCAGAAAUAGACAGCAAAUUUCCAUAGCAUUGAAGAUCUUAAAUUCACACAAUAAGUUCCAUGGAAUACUCAGGUUCAACCUGAUAAAAGCUACAGGUCUUUGACAUGCAAAACUCCACAAACGACACUUAAUUGUCAAGGAAUUUGAUGUUUCACAUCAAAUAAAAGCACACACUUCUAUCUGGUGUUACACAUCAACUACGUGACAUUGAAAAACAAUCUGGGCAUUCACUUUUUCCCAGUGAGAAGUCAUUCCAGCCUGUUAUUUCUUUGCACUUGCAUCUGCUGUGAGCUUGAAGAAGCCCUGUUGUGAAUGCCCAGAUUGUAUGUGCAUCUGCUGUGAGCUUGAAGAAGCACUUGCAUCAACUACGUAACUAUAUGUGCAGAAGUAGUUGUGGUGUUCCUUCCACCUUAUGAAUUAGUCUGUGAAGAGGUGAAUAGUCAGGAGCCCCAUGGAGCCAAACAAACAUUAUGUUCAGGCUACAGAUUAUAUUCAUACUACAGCUUGAGUCCGAAUUUGUAUUGAUACACGAAAAUGUCAUGUGUGCCAAGAAAAGUAUGUUAGCUGUACAAUCAAUUUUGGUGUGCAUUUCUUAUUUAUUUUUGAGUCGGACGUGUGCAUUUCUAAUUAGAAGUAGAAGAAGAAAGAUGUGACACGGACUUCCUAAGAUCACAUACACAUAGUUGAAUAGUAUAAUUAGAAUAAUAAUAAUAAAAUUCAAAAAGCUUAUUUAUUUUGGCUACAAAUUUGCUGGAGUGUUAUAGAUGUGCAUACCAUUUCGUGAAGGAAUAACAUAAAUGGUGGUCGGGACAAAC